rnacentral:rRNA from 1 species
AGAGUUUGAUCCUGGCUCAGGACGAACGCUGGCGGCAGGCUUAACACAUGCAAGUCGAGCGCCCCGCAAGGGGAGCGGCAGACGGGUGAGUAACACGUGGGAACGUGCCUUUCGGUUCGGAACAACUGAGGGAAACUUCCGCUAAAACCGGAUACCCCCUUCGGGGGAAAGUUUACUCCGAAAGAUCGGCCCGCCUCUGAUUAGGUAGUUGGUGGGGUAAUGGCCCAACAACCCAAUGAUCAGUAGGUGGUCUGACAGGAUGAUCACCCACACUGGGACUGAAACACCGCCCAGACUCCUCUUGGAGGCAGCAAUGGAGACUCUUGGACAAUGGGCGCAAGCCUGAUCCCCCAUGCCGCGUGGAUGAAGACGGAACUGGGUUGUAAAGUCCUUUCGUCCGGGACGAUAAUGACGGUUCUGAAGAAGAAGCCCGUGCUAAUUUAAUGCCUGCAACCGCAUACCCCCCAGCGGGGCGCGGGCCCGCGCUGAAUCACUGCCGG